rnacentral:rRNA from 1 species
AGUCAAUAGAUACCCUGGUAGUCCACGCCGUAAACGAUGAGUACUAGGUGUAGGAGGUAUCGACUCCUUCUGUGCCGCAGUUAACACAAUAAGUACUCCGCCUGGGAAGUACGGUCGCAAGAUUAAAACUCAAAGGAAUUGACGGGGGCCCGCACAAGCAGCGGAGCAUGUGGUUUAAUUCGAAGCAACGCGAAGAACCUUACCUAGACUUGACAUCUCCUGAAUAGUGUAGAGAUACAUGAAGCCCUUCGGGGCAGGAAGACAGGUGGUGCAUGGUUGUCGUCAGCUCGUGUCGCGAGAU